GACGAACGCUGGCGGCGUGCCUAAUACAUGCAAGUCGAGCGCAGGAAACUGACGGAACUCUUCGGAGGGAAGGCAGUGGAAUGAGCGGCGGACGGGUGAGUAACACGUAAGGAACCUGCCUCAAGGAUUGGGGUAACUCCGAGAAAUCGGAGCUAAUACCGGAUAGUUCAACGGACCGCAUGGUCCGCUGAUGAAAGGCGCUCCGGCGUCACCUUGAGAUGGCCUUGCGGUGCAUUAGCUAGUUGGUGGGGUAACGGCCCACCAAGGCGACGAUGCAUAGCCGACCUGUGAGGGUGAUCGGCCACACUGGGACUGAGACACGGCCCAGACUCCUACGGGAGGCAGCAGUAGGGAAUCUUCCACAAUGGACGAAAGUCUGAUGGAGCAACGCCGCGUGAGUGAUGAAGGUUUUCGGAUCGUAAAACUCUGUUGUAAGGGAAGAACACGUACGAGAGGGAAUGCUCGUACCUUGACGGUACCUUACGAGAAAGCCACGGCUAACUACGUGCCAGCCGCCGCGGUAAAAC
rnacentral:rRNA from 1 species